rnacentral:rRNA from 1 species
CCUACGGGCGGCUGCAGUGGGGAAUAUUGGACAAUGGGCGAAAGGCUGAUCCAGCCAUGCCGCGUGUGUGAAGAAGGCCUUCGGGUUGUAAAGCACUUUCAGUGGGGAAGAAAGCCUUGGGGCUAAUACCCUCGAGGAAGGACAUCACCCACAGAAGAAGCACCGGCUAACUCCGUGCCAGCAGCCGCGGUAAUACGGAGGGUGCGAGCGUUAAUCGGAAUUACUGGGCGUAAAGCGCGCGUAGGCGGUCUGAUAAGCCGGUUGUGAAAGCCCCGGGCUCAACCUGGGAACGGCAUCCGGAACUGUCAGGCUAGAGUGCAGGAGAGGAAGGUAGAAUUCCCGGUGUAGCGGUGAAAUGCGUAGAGAUCGGGAGGAAUACCAGUGGCGAAGGCGGCCUUCUGGACUGACACUGACGCUGAGGUGCGAAAGCGUGGGUAGCAAACAGGAUUAGAUACCCUAGUAUC